UACGAAGGGGGCUAGCGUUGCUCGGAAUUACUGGGCGUAAAGCGCACGUAGGCGGCUUUCUAAGUCGGGGGUGAAAUCCUGGAGCUCAACUCCAGAACUGCCUUCGAUACUGGAGAGCUUGAGUCCGGGAGAGGUGAGUGGGACUGCGAGUGUAGAGGUGAAAUUCGUAGAUAUUCGCAAGAACACCAGUGGCGAAGGCGGCUCACUGGCCCGGUACUGACGCUGAGGUGCGAAAGCGUGGGGAGCAAACAGG
rnacentral:rRNA from 1 species